ensembl:lncRNA novel transcript
AACGAAAAUAACUGCAACUCUUGAUUGCACCUCCUGAGGGUCGUUGGGACUUUCCCUCUCAGACAUUUAUUGGUUCAUUCAUUCGUUCAUUUUGCUGUAACUCACAGUGGCCCCCAUCCUAAGGUGCACUGCUGGGAUUGGUCUAUGUGCUGAUGAUGUUCUCCUUGUCUUCAGAGAGACGGAGUUUCACCGUGUUAGCCAGGAUGGUCUCGAUCUCCUGACCUCGUGAUCCGCCUCGUGAUCCUCCUGAUCCUCGAAGCCGCCCGCCUCGGCCUCCCAAAGUGCUGGGAUUACAGGCGGGAGCCACCGCGCCUGGCCGUUCCCUGGGUCUUUUGAGUGGUGUGAGUUGAAUGGUGGUAGAUUCUAGGACAGUUCAGUAGGAGCCCGUCCUCAAAAGGAAAAUAACAGAACUUCCUGCUAAUCUGGUAUUGGGGCUGAGCAAUUACUGCACACUGAUGAGAUUGACCAUAAUUGCAUCCUGAGUUUGAAGAGGAGGUCACGCUACUAAGACGAGAUAAAAUCAGCUCCAACGACAAACAUCAUCUCUGGGGGUUUCCAGAUUCUCAAUUUUCAUUUAAUCCCCAGCCUUAGUGGAAAGCAAGAGUCGGAGUCGGCAUUCUGGGCAGGGAGGCAGGUGAGGCAGGUACACAUCUCCUCUUCUCCCCAACGCCCCAUGUUUCUAUUUCUGAAUAAAAUGAACCAUCAUGGUGCUAAGGUAAAGCUAAACUAGCUGAGCCACCUCCUGAAGAGGACAUUGCUUUUUUUUAUUUGAUGAGAUUUCUUUCCCUUCUGUUACCAGCAUCUCCAUCCCUUUGGGAAACUGACUCUUAAUAACAGAGUUUUUUGUACUUUUAAACUUUGUUUUUGUGUAGUCAAAUAUGUACAACAUAAGAUAUGCUGUUUUAUCCAUUUUUAAGUGGACAGUUCAGAAGCAUUAAUUACAUCGACUAUGUUGUGCAACCUUUCCUGCUAUUUAUUUCCAAAACAUUUUUCAACAGAACAAAUAAAAACACGGUACUCAUUGUAAAAUAA